UACGUUAGAUUUGCCGCGCUUCUCAUGUCCCGCCCUUCCAUUGUCUUUUGUUAUCUACAAGUCGAGCCGCUAAGAUUUCGAAUAGAAACGGACAUCAGGAAAUAGAACUUAGGCAAGAGAACAGCACGAGAGAAUGUACGAUGAUUUCCAUAUUCUCUGGAUUCAUUAGAAAAAUAUUAACGAUACAUUUGAAAAAAAGAAGGAAAAAAUAUAAAUGAACAAUUAUUAAUACCUAAUUGGCAACUUGGAAAUAGUUCUUUUUGGUAUUACAGAAUGAAAAGUCUCUUCUGGUUAUCUCCCCUUCAGAUGCAUCUAGCUGAUUACUUAUGAAAUUUACCGAGGAUAAAAAGUUUGCUUCCUAUUGGAUGACAAUAUUAUUUUUAUGAUUCUGGUCUAUACUUUCAUAAGAAUUCUACUACAUCAAAAAGCAAGAUCUGGCUAACACCAAGAUUUACAGAAUUUGUCAAAAAACAUAUUUGCAAGGAAAGAUGGAAGAGAUCUAAACUGAUUUAUGUCUAAGGAGGUGAGAGUUGGAUGCAUGAUUGAUUUAAGGGUGUAAUAGUUAUAAAGUGUUCACAACAAUGUGGCAGGAA